UACGUAGGCAGCGAGCGUUGUCCGGAAUCAUUGGGCGUAAAGCGCGUGUAGGCGGUUCGGUAAGUCGGCUGUGAAAGUCCAGGGCUCAACCCUGGGAUGCCGGUCGAUACUGCCCGGACUAGAGUUCGGAAGAGGCGAGUGGAAUUCCCGGUGUAGCGGUGAAAUGCGCAGAUAUCGGGAGGAACACCUAUGGCGAAGGCAGCUCGCUGGGACGUUACUGACGCUGAGACGCGAAAGCGUGGGGAGCAAACAGG
rnacentral:rRNA from 1 species